rnacentral:rRNA from 1 species
GACGAACGCUGGCGGCGUGGAUUAGGCAUGCAAGUCGAACGGUAUCAUCCUUUCGGGGGUGAGAGAGUGGCGAACUGGUGAGUAACACGUAGGUUAUCUACCCUCAAGACGGGGACAACCCAGGGAAACUUGGGCUAAUACCGGAUGUGAGCAACUUUUAGUUGUUUGAAAGGUGGCGUAAGCUGUCGCUUGGGGAUGAGCCUGCGUCCUAUUAGUUAGUUGGUGAGGUAAUGGCUUACCAAGGCGAUGAUAGGUAGGCGGCCUUAACGGGUGGUCGCCCACACUGGGAUUGAGAGACGGCCCAGGACUCCUACGGGAGGCAGCAGUCGAGAAUAGUCUACAAUGGACGGAAGUCUGAUAGUGCGACGCCGCGUGAACGAAGAAUCCCUUCGGGGUGUAAAGUUCUUUUAUACGUGAGCAGUGCCCUUUAUAUGAAUAGUAUAGAGGGAGGGAUUUAAGCGUAUGAAUAAGCAACGGCUAACUCCGUGCCAGCAGCCGCGGUAAGACGUAGCGUG